CCCCCCACUGCAGACAAGCCUGAAAAUUGGCGUACAGCCUAAAAAGAAACAUCUCCAUGGUGAUUUUGUUAUCUCUAAGAUUCCUCUGGUGUUUAUGACCGGUUUUCCUGUCUCAGCGCUCUGUGUUCUGCUCCGUGGAUUCCUGUGAGACUUCUCAAUGGCAAC